GGGAAAUUGAUUGCUUACUUAAACUGUCAAUAAUGACGACAUUUACAGGAACCACCCUUUGGUAAAGCUCGUAGCUAACGAAAAGCUGAAAUCAGCUUUCAAGAAGAACAAAAGACUAGUUUCAUCGUAUACAGAAUCCGUCCUCGUCAAGGAAGCGUGUUCAGUGAUCAUGCACGAGGCGACUGGAUGUAGUUAUAAAGAGGCCACAGAGGCUCUGCAACGAACGGUGGCCAAAAGUUUUUUCACAGCAUAUAGCCUGGCAACAACUCACCGCUCGAGCAUAAAAGAAUAUUGGUCAA